rnacentral:rRNA from 1 species
AACCUUACCGGUGGAUCACUCGGCUC